rnacentral:rRNA from 1 species
ACGUAUGGGGCGAGCGUUGUUCGGAAUUAUUGGGCGUAAAGGGCGUGUAGGCGGUUUUGUAAGCCCGGUGUAAAAGAUAUUGGCUUAACCAGUAUUUUGCGCUGGGUACUGCAAGACUAGAGUCCUGGAGAGGAAGCUGGAAUUCCUGGUGUAGGGGUGAAAUCUGUAGAUAUCAGGAAGAACACCGAUGGCGGAGGCAAGCUUCUAGCCAUGGACUGACGCUGAGGCGCGAAAGCGUGGGGAGCAAACAGGAUUAGAUACCCUGGUAGUCCACGCUGUAAACGAUGUGCACUAGGUGUGGGAGGUGUUAAACUUUCCGUGCCGUAGCUAACGCGGUAAGUGCACCGCCUGGGGAGUAUGCUCGCAAGGGUG